GUGCCAGCCGCCGCGGUAAUACGGAGGGUGCAAGCGUUAUCCGGAUUCACUGGGUUUAAAGGGUGCGUAGGCGGGCUGUUAAGUCAGUGGUGAAAUCUUUGGGCUUAACCCGAAAACUGCCAUUGAUACUAUCAGUCUUGAAUAUUGUGGAGGUCUGCGGAAUAUGUCAUGUAGCGGUGAAAUGCUUAGAUAUGACAUAGAACACCAAUUGCGAAGGCAGCAGGCUACGCAUAUAUUGACGCUGAGGCACGAAAGCGUGGGGAUCAAACAGGAUUAGAUACCCCAGUAGUC
rnacentral:rRNA from 1 species